rnacentral:piRNA from 1 species
UGACUAUUCAGUGAUUCAAUUUUAAGAAGGU